UCAAGAUGAGAUAUCCCAAUUAGUAAGGCCCCUUGGAGACUACGAGGUAGAUAGGCUUAAGGUGUAAGCACAGCAAUGUGUUCAGCUGAUAAGUACUAAUAGGCCGAGGGCUUAACCAAAC
rnacentral:rRNA from 1 species